UUUAAAUUUUAUCUCUCGUUUUAACUAGCUUAUCUUGUCAAGAAUAAUCCGUACAUUAAGACGCUGCGAUCAGAUCCUAUUUAUCUCUUUUAGUUUACGAGAUAUUCGCGAUUAAAAUAAAUCGUCAAAAUUUGAUAAAUUUCAAUUUUUAGCGCUUUCAGUCGCGUUUUUCGACCCUUUACCUCAUUAAAUUAAAUUAUUUUUAACUUUUAUAUGAUUGAGAAUAUUCCAUUCUUCUGUAAUCAACAAUUUUCUGGUUGUUAUCUUCUUUAGUUUGGAAGAUAUUCGUUAUCGAAAAUCAUCGAACACACAUGACGAAGCCCAUUUUUUCUUCUGAAUUAUUUUUUGAUUUUCUAGAUUUCUUAAUAAUGGAGCUUAUCUUGUAGAAAAGUUUAAGAAUCAUUAAGCUGUGCCGUUCUAUCGCGUUUAGUUCUUGAGGAAGUCGAGUAAAAUUAGAAGAUUUCUUUUAUUCGUCGUUGUCAUAUUCUCAUGCCACAUCCAUUUGCCGCCUGCAGCAGUGUAGUUCAAAUCGCAUAUAUGUGUGGUACCAAAUGCAAUUUGCGCACAAGGUCGCCGUUGAUUUUGUGAAUUUCUUACUUUUUUAUCAUAAACUGUCGCGCCGUUGCUUGCGCGGCUACGGCAUGUGCUAUCGUUGCAGCCAGUUCGUGUCGAUCGGUGGUUGGUCCAGACGUGUUUUGAGAAACUCGUAUUGUUUAUUCGGACUUCUGUUUUUUUUUUUAAUUUGCGUUAUAUUUGAUUAUCAAUCGACUAUUUAAUUGUAGCUACUAGGCUAAUGAUAUUUAUUAUUUCCGCGUUUAAUGUACAUUAUUGAACAAAACUGAUAGAUAUUUGAUUGCGUUUCGUGUGCAUACUUAUGCAAGUUACAAGGUUCGGUGUCAGUUGCUAAAUAAAUCGGAUUUAGAAUCGCAUCCAUGUAGAUUUAUUCAUCAUUAUUCUUGUCACUUGCUGUUCUUUGGUGACUGAUGAAUACAACAAUUCGUAAGUUUAUAAUUUAAUUAUAUUUUUCAUUCUAAUUUACGCGACAAACAUUUAUUGGCUCAAUACGUACCUCAAAAUAGCUGCGAUACUUUGCUUUUUUUUAGAAAUUUUUAACUUCUUCAGUUACUGUAGAUGCCCUCGUGGUGAAACAUGUAUAACCAGUACCGGCGUUAGGGUAUGGCGCCAAAGGGCGCCGGACUUUAAGGGGCGCCGACUCGCACUUGGCCGGUCCAAGUGGUCUUACAAUAAGUUCGGAUUAAUUUUAUUAGAUGCGGAAUUUAAUUCUGUAUCUUCCAGUAUCAAAAUUUAUUGCAAGAAAAUUCCGUAACGCGAGUUAUAUUGAUAGUUGUGUGUACACGCCCUUGUACUCGUUGCGCUAGGAAUUGUAGUUUUCUUACUAUAACACGCGAACGCGGUCUUACUAUUGGUUCGGAAUAAUUUUGUUAGAUGCAGAAUUUAAUUUUGUAUCUCCCUAUAUCAAAAUUUAUUGCUAGAAAAAUCCGUAACGCGAAUUAUAUUGAUAGUUGUGUGUAUACGCACUUGUACUCGUUGCGCUAGGAAUUGUAGUUUUUUUAUUAUCACACGCGAACCCGGUCUUACUAUAAGUUCGGAAUAAUUUUAUUAGAUGCGGAAAUUAAUUCUGUAUCUUCCUGAAUCGAAAUUUAUUGCAAGAAAAUACCGUAACGCGAGUUAUAUUGAUAGUUGUGUGUUACCGCACUUGUCCUCGUUGCUCUAGGAAUUGUAGUUUUUUUAUUAUAACACGCGAACGCGGCCUUACUAUAAGCUCGGAAUAAUUUUAUUAGAUGCGUAAUUUAAUUCUGUAUCUUCCAGUAUCGAAAUUUAUUGCAAGAAAAUUCCGUAACGCGAGUUAUAUUGAUAGUUGUGUGUAUACGCACUUGUACUCGUUGCGCUAGGAAUUGUAGUUUUUUUUUUAUUGUAACACGCGAACGCGGUCUUCCUAUAAGUUCGGGAUAAUUUUCUUAGAUGCGAAAUUUAAUUCUGUAUCUCCCUGUAUCGAAAUUUAUUGCGAGAAAAUUCCGUAACGCGAGUUAAAUUGAUAAUUGUGUGUAUACGCGGUCUUACAGUAAGUUCGGGAUAAUUUUAUUAGAUGCGGAAUUUAAUUCUGUAUCUCCCUGUAUCGAAAUUUAUUGCGAGAAAAUUCCGUAACGUGAGUUAUAUUGAUAGUUGUGUGUAUACGCAUUUGUACUCGUUGCGCAGUACCGGCGUUAGGGCAUGGCGCGGUUGGACGACCGCCCAGGGGCGCCGGACUUUAAGGGGCGCCGCUUCGAUAUGCUAAUUUUUGGUUGUUUUAUGUGUAGCAGGCGGACGAAAUGUUUAAGACAACGGUCCUAUUAUAAUAUUGUAAGUAUAGAAAUUGUUUUUUAUUUUUGUAAAUAAUUUUCAUGUUUCAUACAUUGAAAUGUAAAUUAAAUCAGUUAUUUUAAAUAUUAGCAAACGCAUUACA